rnacentral:rRNA from 1 species
UCAUAUGCUUGUCUCAAAGAUUAAGCCAUGCAUGUCUCAGUACAAGCCUAAUUAAGGUGAAACCGCGAAAGGCUCAUUAAAUCAGUUAUGGUUCCUUAGAUCGUACCCACAUUUACUUGGAUAACUGUGGUAAUUCUAGAGCUAAUACAUGCAAACAGAGCUCCGACCGGAGACGGAAGGAGCGCUUUUAUUAGAUCAAAACCAAUCGGUGGCGGGCUUGCUCGUCAUCGUACAACUUGGUGACUCUGAAUAACUUUACGCUGAUCGCACGGUCUCGCACCGGCGACGCAUCUUUCAAAUGUCUGCCUUAUCAACUGUCGAUGGUAGGUUCUGCGCCUACCAUGGUUGUAACGGGUAACGGGGAAUCAGGGUUCGAUUCCGGAGAGGGAGCCUGAGAAACGGCUACCACAUCCAAGGAAGGCAGCAGGCGCGCAAAUUACCCACUCCCGGCACGGGGAGGUAGUGACGAAAAAUAACGAUACGGGACUCAUCCGAGGCCCCGUAAUCGGAAUGAGUACACUCUAAACCCUUUAACGAGGAUCAAUUGGAGGGCAAG